rnacentral:rRNA from 1 species
UCCGAAGGGGGCUAGCGUUGCUCGGAAUCACUGGGCGUAAAGGGUGCGUAGGCGGGUCUUUAAGUCAGGGGUGAAAUCCUGGAGCUCAACUCCAGAACUGCCUUUGAUACUGAGGAUCUUGAGUACGGGAGAGGUGAGUGGAACUGCGAGUGUAGAGGUGAAAUUCGUAGAUAUUCGCAAGAACACCAGUGGCGAAGGCGGCUCACUGGCCCGUUACUGACGCUGAGGCACGAAAGCGUGGGGAGCAAACAGG